CACGUAGGGCGCAAGCGUUGUUCGGAAUUACUGGGCGUAAAGCGCACGUAGGCGGCUUUGUAAGUUAGAGGUGAAAGCCCAGGGCUCAACCCUGGAAUUGCCUUUAAGACUGCAUCGCUAGAAUUGUGGAGAGGUAAGUGGAAUUCCGAGUGUAGAGGUGAAAUUCGUAGAUAUUCGGAAGAACACCAGUGGCGAAGGCGACUUACUGGACACAUAUUGACGCUGAGGUGCGAAAGCGUGGGGAGCAAACAGG
rnacentral:rRNA from 1 species